UUAGCGGAUGACUUGUGGCUGGGGGUGAAAGGCCAAUCAAACCGGGAGAUAGCUGGUUCUCCCCGAAAGCUAUUUAGGUAGCGCCUCGUGAAUUCAUCUCCGGGGGUAGAGCACUGUUUCGGCAAGGGGGUCAUCCCGACUUACCAACCCGAUGCAAACUGCGAAUACCGGAGAAUGUUAUCACGGGAGACACACGGCGGGUGCUAACGUCCGUCGUGAAGAGGGAAACAACCCAGACCGCCAGCUAAGGUCCCAAAGUCAUGGUUAAGUGGGAAACGAUGUGGGAAGGCCCAGACAGCCAGGAUGUUGGCUUAGAAGCAGCCAUCAUUUAAAGAAAGCGUAAUAGCUCACUGGUCGAGUCGGCCUGCGCGGAAGAUGUAACGGGGCUAAACCAUGCACCGAAGCUGCGGCAGCGACGCUUAUGCGUUGUUGGGUAGGGGAGCGUUCUGUAAGCCUGUGAAGGUGUGCUGUGAGGUAUGCUGGAGGUAUCAGAAGUGCGAAUGCUGACAUAAGUAACGAUAAAGCGGGUGAAAAGCCCGCUCGCCGGAAGACCAAGGGUUCCUGUCCAACGUUAAUCGGGGCAGGGUGAGUCGACCCCUAAGGCGAGGCCGAAAGGCGUAGUCGAUGGGAAACAGGUUAAUAUUCCUGUACUUGGUGUUACUGCGAAGGGGGGACGGAGAAGGCUAUGUUGGCCGGGCGACGGUUGUCCCGGUUUAAGCGUGUAGGCUGGUUUUCCAGGCAAAUCCGGAAAAUCAAGGCCGAGGCGUGAUGACGAGGCACUACGGUGCUGAAGCAACAAAUGCCCUGCUUCCAGGAAAAGCCUCUAAGCAUCAGGUAACAUCAAAUCGUACCCCAAACCGACACAGGUGGUCAGGUAGAGAAUACCAAGGCGCUUGAGAGAACUCGGGUGAAGGAACUAGGCAAAAUGGUGCCGUAACUUCGGGAGAAGGCACGCUGAUACGUAGGUGAAGCGACUUGCUCGUGGAGCUGAAAUCAGUCGAAGAUACCAGCUGGCUGCAACUGUUUAUUAAAAACACAGCACUGUGCAAACACGAAAGUGGACGUAUACGGUGUGACGCCUGCCCGGUGCCGGAAGGUUAAUUGAUGGGGUUAGCGCAAGCGAAGCUCUUGAUCGAAGCCCCGGUAAACGGCGGCCGUAACUAUAACGGUCCUAAGGUAGCGAAAUUCCUUGUCGGGUAAGUUCCGACCUGCACGAAUGGCGUAAUGAUGGCCAGGCUGUCUCCACCCGAGACUCAGUGAAAUUGAACUCGCUGUGAAGAUGCAGUGUACCCGCGGCAAGACGGAAAGACCCCGUGAACCUUUACUAUAGCUUGACACUGAACAUUGAGCCUUGAUGUGUAGGAUAGGUGGGAGGCUUUGAAGUGUGGACGCCAGUCUGCAUGGAGCCGACCUUGAAAUACCACCCUUUAAUGUUUGAUGUUCUAACGUGGACCCGUGAUCCGGGUUGCGGACAGUGUCUGGUGGGUAGUUUGACUGGGGCGGUCUCCUCCUAAAGAGUAACGGAGGAGCACGAAGGUUGGCUAAUCCUGGUCGGACAUCAGGAGGUUAGUGCAAUGGCAUAAGCCAGCUUGACUGCGAGCGUGACGGCGCGAGCAGGUGCGAAAGCAGGUCAUAGUGAUCCGGUGGUUCUGAAUGGAAGGGCCAUCGCUCAACGGAUAAAAGGUACUCCGGGGAUAACAGGCUGAUACCGCCCAAGAGUUCAUAUCGACGGCGGUGUUUGGCACCUCGAUGUCGGCUCAUCACAUCCUGGGGCUGAAGUAGGUCCCAAGGGUAUGGCUGUUCGCCAUUUAAAGUGGUACGCGAGCUGGGUUUAGAACGUCGUGAGACAGUUCGGUCCCUAUCUGCCGUGGGCGCUGGAGAACUGAGGGGGGCUGCUCCUAGUACGAGAGGACCGGAGUGGACGCAUCACUGGUGUUCGGGUUGUCAUGCCAAUGGCACUGCCCGGUAGCUAAAUGCGGAAGAGAUAAGUGCUGAAAGCAUCUAAGCACGAAACUUGCCCCGAGAUGAGUUCUCCCUGACCCUUUAAGGGUCCUGAAGGAACGUUGAAGACGACGACGUUGAUAGGCCGGGUGUGUAAGCGCAGCGAUGCGUUGAGCUAACCGGUACUAAUGAACCGUGAGGCUUAACCUUACAACGCCGAAG
rnacentral:rRNA from 1 species